rnacentral:autocatalytically_spliced_intron from 1 species
UGAAGAUAUAGUCUGAUACUCCUUGUAAAAGGA